rnacentral:rRNA from 1 species
GAUGAACGCUGGCGGCGUGCCUAAUACAUGCAAGUCGAGCGAACGGACGAGAAGCUUGCUUCUCUGAUGUUAGCGGCGGACGGGUGAGUAACACGUGGAUAACCUACCUAUAAGACUGGGAUAACUUCGGGAAACCGUAGCUAAUACCGGAUAAUAUUUUGAACCGCAUGGUUCAAAAGUGAAAGACGGUCUUGCUGUCACUUAUAGAUGGAUCCGCGCUGCAUUAGCUAGUUGGUAAGGUAACGGCUUACCAAGGCAAGGAUGCAUAGCCGACCUGAGAGGGUGAUCGGCCACAUGGGAACUGAGACACGGUCCAGACUCCUACGGUAGGCAGCAGUAGGGAAUCUUCCGCAAUGGGCGAGAGCCUGACAGAGCAACGCCGCGUGAGUGAUGAAGGUCUUCGUAUCGUAAAACUCUGUUAUUAGGGAAGAACAUAUGUGUAAGUAACUGUGCACAUCUUGACGGUACCUAAUCAGAAAGCCACGGCUAACUACGUG